GUGAGAGGGACCUUGGAGUCCUAGUGGACGAUCUCUUAAACAUGAACCAACAGUCUAAAUAAUAAUAACAACAACGGGGGAGUAAUUAUUCUGCAAAGAAACAGUUUCUUCUGUUAUCUCUUAAGACUGAAUGAAAAUUCUUAUUUUCCUUUCCUAGGGGGGAUGUCUUUGGAGAUUUCAGAGAAAAGGAGAAAUAAAACAGCUCCUGGAACUCUCAACCACGUCCUCUCAAAAGGUCUCCAAAAGAGUUAUGGGGCGCCGGGUUGCUCGGAGGGCUCACAAGAAGAAUCAAACAGCUCAUUUGCACGCUAAACCUGGCUGCCGCUCAUCUUAAAGAGAUCGCGGAGUAUUGUGGGCAACGUCAGGCUGGGCGCCUCCCUCUUCCAAAGCCCCGGGAGAGGUGCCAAAACAGCGUCGUUUUCUUUCUUCAGUCGCGGACUUUGGAUGGGAAGAAAACUUUUACUGAACGCAGAAGGGCCCAGGCGAUGGCGGGGAAUGUUACCCUCACCUGGAACCCUUGUCCACUGAAGUUCAUUCUCAGGUGCGAACUGGUGUCUUCGGUUGCAGAUGGGAAGGUGCUCGUGGUCUGAAGGCGAUGGAGCUGCAGCGGGCGCCCGUCUUUUACCUGUGGGCUGUACUGAUGUUCUUGCUGCCGGUGGGCCUACGCGACUCCUCCAGGCACUCCCUGUGCUAUUCAUUCCUGAAGGUUUCAGAGCCCAUCCAUGGGCUGCCCCAGUUCCACUCCAUGGUCAACCUGGAUGAUCAACCCAUUGCUCGAUAUGACAUCCUCAAUGGGAAGGCAGUUCCUCUGGUGCCCUGGAUGGAGGCGGAGGAGGUGAAGACACCUGAGAGGAUAUUCAGAUCUGACCUGGAGUGGUUAUCCAACCUCAACCCCCAGACUGGAGGUAAGCAAAGAGCUUCACACCUGGCAGGUGACUUUGGGCUGUGAGCUCUGGGUAGACGAGAGCAAAGGAGGGUUCUUGCGCUAUGGCUACAAUGGGAGGGACUUCAUCAGCUUCGACAAGGAGACCCUCAGAUGGGUGACAGCUCAGCCCCAGGCCCAGAAGGUCAAGGAGAAGUGGGAGGAGGAUCCAAGGUGGUCCUGGGGAAAAAAAAGACUUCCUGGAGAAGAUCUGCAUUGAGUGGCUGCAGGCAUACCUGUCCUAUGAGAAGAAAGCUCUGAAGAAAACAGAGCCUCCAGUGGGGAAGGUGACUCGCAAGGUGGUGAAUGACAGCUUGAAGGUCCUCAUCUGCCAGGCUUUUGGCUUCUACCCCAAGGAGAUCCAGGCCACCUGGACCAGGGAAGGAGAGGUCCCCCAGUACAAGACCCUCCGUAGGAAUGUGGCCCCCAACUCAGAUGGAACCUUUUAUGUCCAGCUCAGCCUUGAGAUCAAGCCCAAGGAGAGGAACCGUUUUCGGUGUCACCUGAAGCACGAGGGCUUGGACGAGCCCCUGGUCUUGGUAUGGGAGGAGGAACCAGCUUUAGAUACAAGGUGGUGGAUUCCUGUGGGAAAUGUGGUUGCCAUAAUCUUGGUAGCUGGGAUUCUCUUCCUGAAAUGUAAGUGAAACAAACACAUCCACUGUGUCUUUCUCUGUGUUGCCUGAGCUGGUUUGGAUGGGAGAGAAACUCCCUCAGAGUUGCAGCCAGGACCCCCACAGGAGUUUAAAUGGGAAUCAGAAAGGAAGAGGAAACUAGGCAGCCACUUUUUCAACUUCUGUAGAUCUCAAAAUGUUCCAGAUUCCUCUUUUCUGGGAGGAAGCCUCUUUGACCUCAGUGGACAGUGGAGCAAAUAUCAGGGCUCAGGAGGCCCUUAAAUGGUCU